UACAGAGGGUGCGAGCGUUGUCCGGAAUCACUGGGCGUAAAGGGCGCGUAGGUGGCGACCCAAGUCUGUGGUGAAAGCUCGCCGCUUAACGGCGAGUCGGCCACGGAUACUGGGUGGCUCGAGCACUGUAGGGGCAGAUGGAAUUCCGGGUGUAGCGGUGAAAUGCGUAGAUAUGCGGAGGAACACCGAUGGCGAAGGCAAUCCCCUGGGCCUGCACUGACGCUCAUGCACGAAAGCGUGGGGAGCAAACAGG
rnacentral:rRNA from 1 species